rnacentral:rRNA from 1 species
UACAGAGGUGGCAAGCGUUGCUCGGAAUCACUGGGCGUAAAGCGCACGUAGGCGGCUUUUUAAGUCAGGGGUGAAAUCCUGGAGCUCAACUCCAGAACUGCCUUUGAUACUGAGAAGCUUGAGUCCGGGAGAGGUGAGUGGAACUGCGAGUGUAGAGGUGAAAUUCGUAGAUAUUCGCAAGAACACCAGUGGCGAAGGCGGCUCACUGGCCCGGUACUGACGCUGAGGUGCGAAAGCGUGGGGAGCAAACAGG